rnacentral:rRNA from 1 species
ACUCCUACGGGAGGCAGCAGUGGGGAAUUUUCCGCAAUGGGCGCAAGCCUGACGGAGCAAGACCGCGUGAGGGAGGAAGGCUCUUGGGUUGUAAACCUCUUUUAUCAGGGAAGAAGAUCUGACGGUACCUGAUGAAUCAGCAUCGGCUAACUCCGUGCCAGCAGCCGCGGUAAUACGGAGGAUGCAAGCGUUAUCCGGAUUUAUUGGGCGUAAAGCGUCCGCAGGUGGUUUUUCAAGUCUGCUGUUAAAGCGCAGAGCUUAACUCUGUAACGGCGGUGGAAACUGAGAGACUAGAGUAUGGUAGGGGUUGCGGGAAUUCCCAGUGUAGCGGUGAAAUGCGUAGAUAUUGGGAAGAACACCAGCGGCGAAAGCGCGCAACUGGGCCAUUACUGACACUCAUGGACGAAAGCUGGGGGAGCGAAAGGGAUUAGAUACCCCUGUAGUCCUAGCUGUAAACGAUGGGUACUAGGUGUUGACCGUAUCGACCCGGUCAGUGCCGUAGCUAACGCGUUAAGUACCCCGCCUGGGGAGUAUGCACGCAAGUGUGAAACUCAAAGGAAUUGACGGGGGCCCGCACAAGC